CACGCUUCCCCUCAGGCUGAUCCAGAAAAAUCCAACUCCAUAAACUCGGCUCAGACUCUUCCUUGGAGUUACUCCAGGAGGUCUUGCUCAGAACCCCAAAUUCAGGGUUCAGAGAAAGAGGUGUCUCAGUCCCUGGACUCAAGCUACUGGACCAUAAAAGCUUAAGGCGUGAGCAUCUUCUGUGUACACGGAACUGUGCUUCCUUUUCUCCCCGGCUCUCAGGGGCAGUGUGUGGGCAGGAUCACGUGAGUCAGUGUUACCUGCUGCUCAGCUCCAUCCACUCCAGCUCAUUUGCUGGCCACCAACCAAACCAGAGGAGGCCACUCGUGUUGCUGAGAAUAAAAAAAGUCAAAUCCCCAGAGAUGGGGGAGUCUGAUGUGCCUCAGGUACCAUUUCAAGAUGUAUAGAAGUGUAAGGUUUUAUUUUUUACAGCAAGAAACAAACAAC
rnacentral:lncRNA from 1 species